GGUUAUAGCUCAGUGGCAGAGCAUCUACUUUGCACAAAGAAGGUCCCAGGUUCAAUCCCCAGGUGGGGUUG